GGGGUACACUUAGAACCCCCGUACGGUCUGUGUUAAUAGUGCUGUCUUUGGCCGGGCAGCAUGGUUAGGUUAAGC
ncrna:Prevotella denticola CRIS 18C-A L13-Bacteroidia ribosomal protein leader